rnacentral:rRNA from 1 species
GAUCAUGGCUCAGGAUGAACGCUAGCGGCAGGCUUAACACAUGCAAGUCGAACGAGAAUCUGCUGAAGGAGGAUUCGUCCAACGGAAGCAGAGGAAAGUGGCGGACGGGUGAGUGACGCGUGAGGAACCUGCCUUGAAGAGGGGGACAACAGUUGGAAACGACUGCUAAUACCGCAUGACGCAUAGAGGUCGCAUGAUCUUUAUGCCAAAGAUUUAUCGCUUCAAG